AAGGGUAGCAAUACCUGAGUAAAGCGGCGAACGGGUGAGUAACACGUGGUUAACCUACCGAGAUGUGGGGGAUACCCCGGAGAAAUUCGGGACAAUACCGCAUACAGUCUUCUGGACGUCGGUUCGGAAGAGCAAAGCCGGGGAUCGUAAGACCUGGCGCAUUUCGAGGGGACCGCGGCCGGUUAGCUAGUUGGCGGGGUAAUGGCCCACCAAGGCUUCGAUCGGUAGCCGGCCUGAGAGGGUGAACGGCCACACCGGAACUGAGACACGGUCCGGACUCCUACGGGAGGCAGCAGUGGGGAAUUUUGCGCAAUGGGCGAAAGCCUGACGCAGCAACGCCGCGUGGAGGAUGAAGGUUCUCUGAA
rnacentral:rRNA from 1 species